CUUCCUCAAAAUAAUAAGAAUGAAUCUAAGCUAACUCAAGAAAUCCGUCAUUGACGUUUUUUUGGGCAGAGGAGAUCCUAGUCCCGCAAUUUUAGAAAAAAAAACGGCCCAAAAUGUCAUCAUAAUAUACAUGAACCGUCCGUAGUGUUUGGGAAGGGAAGCACACGCCUUUACAGUUCAACUAAGGAACAGCCGAUUGGGAUCCCCGUGAAGAGAAAAAGGGGCAAAAGCACAGGAAAAUAAAAUAGAUGACCGGAAGAUUAAAACUACCAACGGGACAUUCAAAACUGUAAUAUCUCAUGUGUCACGGUGUCGUGGCUGAACGACGACACGAUCAGCAUACAGCUGGCUGGUUAUACGAUGUACCGGCAGGAUAGAACAGCGGCGUCUGGUAAGACAAGGGCGACGGACUACGAAUUUUUGUAAAUAACAGCUGGUGCACGAUAUUGAAGUCUCGAGCUAUUGCUCGCCUGAUGUAGAGUAUCUCAUGAUAAGCUGUAGACCACACUACCUACCUAGAGAGUUUAUCUGUAUUUUUCACACAGAUGAUGCAAUCUCUAUUACACUCUACACUCCUCAGGGGUGCGUCCCCUCCUGUACUCCCUGUUACUUCACCACGGCCAGGCACGACUCCAACACCAUCAUUAAGUUUGUCGAUGAUCAACGAUGAGACAGCCUAUAGGGAGGAGGUCAGAGACCUGGCCGUGUGGUGCAAAGACAACAACCCCUCCCUCAACAUGAUCAAGACAAAGGAGAUGAUUGUGGACUACAGGAAAAAUAUGACUGAGCACUCCCCCAUUCUAAUCGACGUGGAGCUUCAAGUUCCUUAGUGUCCACAUCACCAACAAACUAACAUGGUCCAAACACACCAAGACAAUCGUGAAGAGGACACGACAAAACCUAUUCCCCCUCAGGAGACUGAAAAGAUUUGGCAUGGGUCCUGGGAUCCUCAAAAGGUUCUACAGCUACACCAUUGAGAGCAUCCUGACUGGUUGCAUCACCGCCUGGUAUGGAAACUGCUCGGCAUCCGACCACAAGGCACUACAGAGGGUAGUGCAUACGGCCCAGUACAUCACUGGGGCCAAGCUUCCUGCCAUCUUGGACCUCUAUACCAGGCGGUGUCAGAGGAAGGCCAUAAAAAUUGUCAAAGACUCCAGCCAUCCUAGUCAUAGACUGUUCUCUCUGCUACCGCACGGCAAGCGGUACUGAAGCGCCAAGUCUGGGUCCAAGAGGCCUCUAUAAACAGAUUCUACCCCCAAGCCAUAAGACUCCUGAACAUCUAAUCAAAUGGCCACCCAGACUAUUUGCAUUGACCCCCCACACCUCUUUUACACCACUGCUACUCUGUUAUUAUCUAUGCAUAGUCACAUUACCUCUAGCUACAUGUACAUAUUACCUCAACUAACCGGUGCACCCGCACAUAGACUCUGUAUCAGUACCCCCCUGUAUAUAGUCUCACUAUUGCCAUUUUACUGCUGCUCUUUAAUUACUUGUUACUUUUAUUUCUUAUUCAGACUUUUUUAAACUGCGAUGUUGGGCUCGUAAGUAAGCAUUUCACUGUAAUACCGGUUGUAUGUGGCCUAAUAAAAUGUGGUUUGAUUUGA